UGACGAUCCCUUGGUUGCUGUGAGCUGACAGCAGACCAAACCACCUCUGGAAGGAAACAUCUGCACAGUUCAGGGAUCCAAAGCCUAUGGACACAUCUUUGCUUCAGGUCUCUGAAGUCUCAGGACAGCUGGCAAAAGAGAAAAUUCAAACAAGGUGGAUGCUCAGUGCUGCAAUGAGGUGUUUGUGUUGAAGACUCUGUGGAUAAGCUGCUUCUUCUCUGUGCCUCAGCACUGGAAUGAACAUCAAAAUCUAGCACCUAGACAUCAAGGUGAAGAUUCUCUGCAUUAAAAUAUAGUCAAAUACUUCUAUAAAGAGACUUAAUG